CUGCUUGAGCAGGCACGGCCACGCGUGCAUUCCUUUUCAGCUGUGCGACAAGGCUUGUAUCGUCUUGAUCGUAUAAGUGGGUUUCCUGUGUUGCAUACCUGAUCAAUGGCAUCGUCUUGAUCAAAAGUGUCUAUUUUUCGUCUGGCAAUGCACCUGCAUUGUCGGAUGAACCACGUAGCAUCCUCUUUGAUCCAUACAGUUGACGUGCUAUCGUUGAUUGUUUGGCCCAUUGAGCGGUGACUCGGUCUCUCGGAUAUGGAAGCCAAAGUGGGCAUGGGAUCGCAAGAUCUCUUUAUUGUCCUCAUUGAGCGUUCUCACUUCUCUUACAUGACCGCCUUUCACGUAUGGCUACGUCCCAGCGUGUUUGGCUACGUCGAAGAGGAAUGUUGGGCGUUCUUGCUUUUCUUACACGACUGCCUUUCACGUAUGGCACGUCCCAGCGUGUUUGG
rnacentral:misc_RNA from 1 species